GCUAAUCACCAUUGGAAAGUUGAUUAAAAUGGUUAGUUUUCCCGUGUUUUUGUCUUGCAGAAAGAUAAGAGCUCGAUUAUUCAAAUGGCAGCAAAGAGAAUUCAGGAGC
rnacentral:sRNA from 1 species